CAGAGCGUGAUGCUAUGCAGAACUUGUUCUGUGUAGCUGACCCUCCACCCGUGUCGAUUAUCUCAUGUUGCUUUGGCGGAUCGGGCUUGCCCGCGCCCACUUUGGUGGGAGUUAUCCGCCAGGGAAGACCAAAACUCUCGUUAUCAGUGAUGUCUGAGGAUGAUAUAAAAUCAUGA
rnacentral:misc_RNA from 1 species